rnacentral:rRNA from 1 species
AUCUAUGAGCGUGCCACCCUGAACACGCCCAAUCUUGUCUGAUCUCGGAACUAAGCACGGUCGGGCCUGGUUAGUACUUGGAUGGGAGACCACCUAGGAAGAUCAAGUGCUGUAGGCA